rnacentral:rRNA from 1 species
UGCAAGUCGAGCGGAGCAUGAGGUGCUUGCACCUUAUCUUAGCGGCGGACGGGUGAGUAUUUUUUAGGAAUCUGCCUAUUAGUGGGGGACAACAUUCCGAAAGGAAUGCUAAUACCGCAUACGUCCUACGGGAGAAAGCAGGGGAUCUUCGGACCUUGCGCUAAUAGAUGAGCCUAAGUCGGAUUAGCUAGUUGGUGGGGUAAAGGCCUACCAAGGCGACGAUCUGUAGCGGGUCUGAGAGGAUGAUCCGCCACACUGGGACUGAGACACGGCCCAGACUCCUACGGGAGGCAGCAGUGGGGAAUAUUGGACAAUGGGGGGAACCCUGAUCCAGCCAUGCCGCGUGUGUGAAGAAGGCCUUAUGGUUGUAAAGCACUUUAAGCGAGGAGGAGGCUACUGAGACUAAUACUCUUGGAUAGUGGACGUUACUCGCAGAAUAAGCACCGGCUAACUCUGUGCCAGCAGCCGCGGUAAUACAGAGGGUGCGAGCGUUAAUCGGAUUUACUGGGCGUAAAGCGUGCGUAGGCGGCUUUUUAAGUCGGAUGUGAAAUCCCCGAGCUUAACUUGGGAAUUGCAUUCGAUACUGGGAAGCUAGAGUAUGGGAGAGGAUGGCAGAAUUCCAGGUGUAGCGGUGAAAUGCGUAGAGAUCUGGAGGAAUACCGAUGGCGAAGGCAGCCGUCUGGCCUAAUACUGACGCUGAGGUACGAAAGCAUGGGGGAGCAAACAGGAUUAGAUACCCUGGUAGUCCAUGCCGUAAAC